UUUUGUACACAAGUUGAUAUAAUAAACUGAAAUUGCUUCUCAGUGGAAGACACGCCCUUUGCAGUGUCGUCAUCACGGCAGCCGCUUCGGACUCGCGGCGGAGGGUAGAGGAUUUCUGUCAUACGGCCCGGUAUAUUUUCACAAAAUAUUCAACUGUACGAAUGAUCAUCCCCGUUGCAUUCGUUGUUCAGCUAACAUCGGCGAUCCUUUGUGGGGGUGGGGUGAGUGAGGGCUGCUGUGAGGAUCCCACACUGUGGGGCAGCCACACGCUGAAUGGUGUCUCCCACAAUGAAGGCUUUGGUGGAUGCAGUCUGGGUGGUGUGGAGCAUCGUGGCCUCAGUCUAUGACUACAUUCACACCAGUGCCAUGGAAGAACGCAUUCACUCACUGGAGAGUGCUAUAACCAUCCACCAGUGUGUCAUUGGCCUACUCUCUGCUGGACUUGUGGCCCUCUUCACUUACAUUCUGCUAAGGAAGCACUGACCCAAAAUUUCAGCCAUUUUUUUUGUGUGCAAGACUGCAUCAGUGAUGUCAGAGGAAACUCUGGAACCAUGUUGAUGUCAAGCAAGCUAUGUUCAGUUACUAAACUUUAUUAGUUUCUAAUUCUGUUAAUGUUUGACUACUGUAUAAUCAGAGUUGAUGUGAUUCAAAGUAAUCUGGUAAACCAAAAUAAGCGUGUCUCUUAAUUAAAAAUAGUCUUCUACCAUGUCCGAUAAUGGAUUUUUAAGGUCAUUGUUGGCUACCACAGAUGAAAGGAUUCAGAGAUGCUACCUGCCAUGGUUCUUCACACAAGCUUGUUGACAGCCGAACAAACACAAAACAAUCACUGGAUCACCAGGCUUUUCAACCUGUUUGCUGCUAUUGUCAAUGGAGUCAGUUUUACGUGUCUUUAUUACUUUUAACAAAACAUUCAAGUUGCCAAUAACUAAGCAUAAUGUAAUUUAUUUAUUGUUAGACUAUGACAUCUCAUACAGCUUAUUUCUUAACUCCAUGGUUAAUGAGAGGCAUCAAUGACUGCGAUUAUAUUCUUGAUAGAGAACUUGAAGUGUCCUUAAAUCACUAAAGAUAUCAAUGUAGUUGAUUUUAAAUUGAUGCUACCUACUUCAAUAUUUAUCUUUGGUUACAUGUUUGUAUUGAACUUUUGUUUUAUUUAGUGUGCUAGUGCAAGUGAGGAUCUGUUGAAAUAAAGUGUAAAGCAUUUCUUUUAACAUUAAGACAAUUUCAUGUCAUAAUAAAAUGUUUAUUACUGGAACAGCAGAAAAGCACAAAUGUUUAUGCAUCAGAAUGUUUGGAAAAAUUCAGAAGGAUCAGGGAAUGAACUUGAAUUCAUGAAUUUUUUCCCUUAACAGACUGCAACACGAGUAUUGGGAUUUUCAAAGAGAAAUCACUGAAGCCAUUCUGUGGUCCAUAUAGAAACAAUACAGAACACACACUGAAUAUUUAUGCUGGUUUUACACAUGCCCGGUCUGCAGAAGUGUGUACUGCGUGGUAAAAUGCUCAACACUUUCACCCUCCAGAGUCUUAACAGCCCUCCAGUGGAGCUUCCCACAGUUCUCUGGGUUUCCGUGCCUUCCCAACUCUUCCUUGAUGUAGUCCAUCCAGAGAUCUAAAGCAUCAAAUUAUUUUGGUUGAUCAGUGAAAUACACUACUCAAAGUAUGAAAGAGACUUGCCUCUUCAAAGGCUAAAAGCACUGAAUCACACUCACCUUCAUCUGAGGAACCGAACUCACGAAGCGCUCGCUCAUAGUAGUCUCUCAGGUUACUUAUCUUUGGUGUCUCCUGGGAGAGUAAUACAAAUCAGUAAUACAUUGUAUGUGUUUAUAUACAUGUCUGCUGGUUACUAGAUAUUUUGGACACCUGACAGGUGCUACAACACCUUUACCUGCUCUUUCUCAAUCUCAAUCAUCUUCAUGAAGAAUGCCUUAGUGAAUGGUCUGUGUUCAUGCAAGCUGAAAUCCAAGAGAAGAGGUUGUUUUGAAAUUGCUUAUGCCUAAUUUCUAGAUAUACAGUGAAGUCCCAAAAGUCUAAAACCACAUUGAAAAAAUAGGAUUUAAAAUUAAAACUGAAAAUAACAUUUCAGGAUUUGGAAUUAAAACAUCUCUUUUAAAUUAGAACAAUACAAAAUAAAUAUUUUUACUAGUGGCCUCAGCCUUUCAGGACCCACUGUAUAUACAGAAAGAAAGAGAACCAUAGAGCACAGCUGUAUUUGAUGUGUACCUUGUGAAUGUUUUUCUAGCCCUUUUGUAACCACCAGUUUUAUAUGACCAUUCAAGGUAUUUUUCCUUCAUGGCAGAUGACACUGCAGGUACUAGGGACAGAAGCCCUUUCUG